rnacentral:rRNA from 1 species
GACGAACGCUGGCGGCGUGCUUAACACAUGCAAGUCGAACGGAAAGGCCCCUUUGGGGGUACUCGAGUGGCGAACGGGGGAGUAACACGUGAGUAACCUGCCCUUGACUUCGGGAUAACUUCAGGAAACUGGGGCUAAUACCGGAUAGGAAUCCUUGCUGCAUGGUGGGGGUUGGAAAGCUUCGGCGGUUUUGGAUGGACUCGCGGCUUAUCAGCUUGUUGGUGGGGUAGUGGCUUACCAAGGCUUUGACGGGUAGCCGGACUGGGAGGGCGACCGGCCACAGUGGGACUGAGACACGGCCCAGACUCCGACGGGAGGCAGAAGUGGGGAAUAUUGCAAAAUGGGCGGGAGCCUGAUGCAGAACCGCCGCGUGCGGGAUGACGGCCUUGGGGUUGUAAACCGCUUUCAGCAGGGGCGAAGCUUGUGGUGACGGUACCUGCAGAAGAAGCACCGGCUAACUACGUG